GCGUGCGCAAGAUGGCGGUCAGUGCAGAUCUAUUGUUUUGGUAGCUGAAGGAAUUAUUGGAUUUCCUCACCCAAAUAUAACCAUUUGGUCAUUUCUAAGAUCAUAAAACGCUGUGUGAAUAUGGUUUUGUUUGUUUGUCAAAGUAAUUGAUUACUUUCUGCAAGUUAUUCACCUCUAAAACGAUUAAGUUAGCGACAACACUAGCUAGCUCAAAAAAUAGCUUGUCUACCUACAUGGAACCUUCCACGACCAGAACCAAAAGAAAAGAUAUUGAGAAAUCAUCAGAUGGACAAUUAACAGCAAAAUAUGGUAUGGUUUUAGGUACUCCUCUGUGGGGGGAAAUACUGCUGUGGGUGAUGAAAAUUUGGUGUGCACAAUGCUGACAAGUUGCACCCAUCCAGUCCCCAGCUCAGGCCAUUACCUCAAUACCCCAACACUCCAGUCCAACCCCAGGGGGAAAAGAUGAGAGGACAAGAGCAUGUGUCACUUCUUGAGAUACAAAGCAAUGUUGUGAUGCUUUUGACAGCAAAGAGAGAUGAAAGGGCAAAUGGCUUGGAGGACAUGGUUGGGGUGAAUAUGAUGAAAAUUGAUGCAAAAAAAAAAUGUUGACUUUAUCUCUGGAGAAGUGAAAACCAUCAAAAGUGACAUGAAGAAAACGGAAGUUAUCUGACAGGAAAAUGAAAAGGUGGCUGAACUCAAGCAAAAGGUGAAUGAGGAGGAGAGAUACCAGGCCUGGUGAAACCUGAGGCUCCAUGGAAUUCCAGAGCAGGUGGGUGUCGACAUCAAAUUAGGAGUUGUUGACAUCUGUGAAGCUGUCAUUCCCGAAUCAAACGCCAAACUUCAGGAAAAUGUGGACAUCGUUCAUCGUUUGGGGACUCAGGAAUCAUGACAAGAGACUGAGGACAACCAUCAUCUGGUUCACCAACAGAUCUACACGGGAUCUUCUCUGUAGGCGAGCGAAGAACUGUCAGUUCCUCAUCACGCAAAAAUGGAGGUUCACAGAGGAUCUGACCUCAGCGGUCAAAGUGACACGGGAGGGACUGUGUCCGAUGGCAGCUGCAGCUCGAAACUGAAUUUCUUUGUCAGUGCAAGAGUGACCAUCGAUGGGAAAGAAAUGCAGCCAAACCAGAACAUUUGAGAGAGAGACAGAGUCUAACUCGGACAGAACUGGGAGGCCUAAACACUGCCUAAUUGCAGGCUGCUGAUGAGCCGGUUGCUGACAGGC
ensembl:lncRNA